rnacentral:snRNA from 1 species
GUGCUUGCUUCGGCAGCACCUGUACUAUAAUUAGACUGGUACAGAGAAGAUUGCUUAGCAUGGCUCCUACACAAGAAUGACAUGCAAAUUCAUGAAGCAUUCCCUUUCUUU